rnacentral:rRNA from 1 species
UACGGGGGGGGCAAGCGUUGUUCGGAAUUACUGGGCGUAAAGGGCUCGUAGGUGGCCAACUAAGUCAGACGUGAAAUCCCUCGGCCUAACCGGGGAACUGCGUCUGAUACUGGAUGGCUUGAGUUCGGGAGAGGGAUGCGGAAUUCCAGGUGUAGCGGUGAAAUGCGUAGAUAUCUGGAGGAACACCGGUGGCGAAGGCGGCAUCCUGGACCGACACUGACACUGAGGAGCGAAAGCCAGGGGAGCAAACGGG